GGCGGUGUACUACAUAAUGAAAAGAUCGUAAAAUUCUGACCAUAUGAUAGACAAACUAAGACAAUGUUAUAUAUUUUAGAAAUAACACAACCAAUUUCUGGUAUGAUCAUCCAUUUGUCCAUAUUAGCCUGUAAGGGUGACAAAUAGGAUGAAACAUGUCCGUACCCAUCCCCAACAAAGCAACAAUGCAUCUAUAACCACAAUUACCAUUAGCAACGACAUUAACAACAUUGAUAAUAUAAAGGUGACAAAUAGGAUGAAAUUGAUC
rnacentral:lncRNA from 1 species